CCCAGACUCCUACGGGAGGCAGCAGUGGGGAAUAUUGCACAAUGGGGGGAACCCUGAUGCAGCGACGCCGCGUGGGUGAAGGAGCGUUUCGGCGCGUAAAGCCCUAUCGGCAGGGAAGAAGGAGGACGGUACCUGACUAAGAAGCCCCGGCUAACUACGUGCCAGCAGCCGCGGUAAUACGUAGGGGGCAAGCGUUAUCCGGAUUUACUGGGUGUAAAGGGGGCGCAGACGGCAGCGCAAGCCAGGAGUGAAAGCCCGGGGCCCAACCCCGGGACUGCUCUUGGAACUGGGCGGCUGGAGUGCAGGAGGGGCAGGCGGAAUUCCUGGUGUAGCGGUGAAAUGCGUAGAUAUCAGGAGGAACACCGGUGGCGAAGGCGGCCUGCUGGACUGCGACUGACGUUGAGGCCCGAAAGCGUGGGGAGCAAACAGGAUUAGAUACCCUUGUAA
rnacentral:rRNA from 1 species